GAUGAACGCUGGCGGCGUGCUUAACACAUGCAAGUCGAACGGAAAGGCCCAACCUUGCUUGGGUCCUCGAGUGGCGAACGGGUGAGUAACACGUGGGUGAUCUGCCCUGCACUUCGGGAUAAGCCUGGGAAACUGGGUCUAAUACCGGAUAGGACCAUGGUCUGGAUGCCAUUGUGGAGAGAUUUUCCGGUUUGGGAUGGGUUCGCGGCUUAUCAGCUUGUUGGUGGGGUAGUGGCUUACCAAGGCGUCGACGGGUAGCCGGCUGGGGAGGGUGUCCGGCAAAAUGGGGAUGGGAAUAGGGCCAAGAUCCCUAGGGGAGGAAGAAGUGGGGAAUAUUCAAAAUUGGGGCGAAGCCUGUUCAACGACGGCGGGGGGGGGGAUACGGGCUUUGGGGUGGAAAAUCGCUUCGGUAGGGGCGGAGCGGUGAGGUGAGGUAACGGGUAGAAGAAGAACGGGUUAACUACGU
rnacentral:rRNA from 1 species